AUCAUCAUUUGGCUUUACUCCAAAAUCUCUGCUCACUGGACAUCUGACUUCAUAUGGCUUGGCAACAACUACAACAUAUGCAGAUUCCUAAGAGAGGAAAUAAGAUGUGGAAAAGGUGGCUUUCUUCAAAGGCACCAGGAGCAUUAGUGUCAUGUCUGAAGCACCCAUUUGUGUCAACGUUUGAUGGUAGCAAAUGAAGCAAGACUGAAAUGAGACCACUUUCCAUUUGGCAA